rnacentral:misc_RNA from 1 species
GAACGCACCUUGCGCCCUUUGGUAUUCCGAAGGGCAUGCCUGUUUGAGUGUCAUUAAAUUAUCAACCUUGCUCGCUUUUACCGGCUUGAGCUGAGGCUUGGACGUGGGGGGUUUUUGCUGGCUUCCUUCAGUGGAUGGUCUGCUCCCCUUAAAUUCAUUAGCGGGAUCUCUUGUGGACCGUCACUUGGUGUGAUAAUUAUCUAUGCCGUUUGACCUUGAAGCAAAUUUAUGGGACCCUGCUUAUAACCGUCUCUUACCGGGACAAUUUAAUAACAUCUUGACCUCAAAUCAGGUAGGACUACCCGCUGAACUUAAG